rnacentral:rRNA from 1 species
UGAGCCAAGUUUAGGGUUUUCUCAAAACCCAAGCAGUAUUGAACUGAAGAGUUUGAUCAUGGCUCAGAUUGAACGCUGGCGGCAGGCCUAACACAUGCAAGUCGAGCGGAUGAAGGGAGCUUGCUCCUGGAUUCAGCGGCGGACGGGUGAG